rnacentral:rRNA from 1 species
AUGAACGCUGGCGGCGUGCCUAAUCCAUGCAAGUCGAGCGAACAGAUGAGGAGCUUGCUCCUCUGACGUUAGCGGCGGACGGGUGAGUAACACGUGGAUAACCUACCUAUAAGACUGGGAUAACUUCGGGAAACCGGAGCUAAUACCGGAUAAUAUAUUGAACCGCAUGGUUCAAUAGUGAAAGACGGUUUCGCUGUCACUUAUAGAUGGAUCCGCGCCGCAUUAGCUAGUUGGUAAGGUAACGGCUUACCAAGGCAACGAUGCGUAGCCGACCUGAGAGGGUGAUCGGCCACACUGGAACUGAGACACGGUCCAGACUCCUACGGGAGGCAGCAGUAGGGAAUCUUCCGCAAUGGGCGAAAGCCUGACGGAGCAACGCCGCGUGAGUGAUGAAGGUCUUCGGAUCGUAAAACUCUGUUAUUAGGGAAGAACAAAUGUGUAAGUAACUAUGCACGUCUUGACGGUACCUAAUCAGAAAGCCACGGCUAACUACGUG